rnacentral:rRNA from 1 species
UAGCGGCGGACGGGUGAGUAACACGUGGAUAACCUACCUAUAAGACUGGGAUAACUUCGGGAAACCGGAGCUAAUACCGGAUAAUAUUUUGAACCGCAUGGUUCAAAAGUGAAAGACGGUCUUGCUGUCACUUAUAGAUGGAUCCGCGCUGCAUUAGCUAGUUGGUAAGGUAACGGCUUACCAAGGCAACGAUGCAUAGCCGACCUGAGAGGGUGAUCGGCCACACUGGAACUGAGACACGGUCCAGACUCCUACGGGAGGCAGCAGUAGGGAAUCUUCCGCAAUGGGCGAAAGCCUGACGGAGCAACGCCGCGUGAGUGAUGAAGGUCUUCGGAUCGUAAAACUCUGUUAUUAGGGAAGAACAUAUGUGUAAGUAACUGUGCACAUCUUGACGGUACCUAAUCAGAAAGCCACGGCUAACUACGUGCCAGCAGCCGCGGUAAUACGUAGGUGGCAAGCGUUAUCCGGAAUUAUUGGGCGUAAAGCGCGCGUAGGCGGUUUUUUAAGUCUGAUGUGAAAGCCCACGGCUCAACCGUGGAGGGUCAUUGGAAACUGGAAAACUUGAGUGCAGAAGAGGAAAGUGGAAUUCCAUGUGUAGCGGUGAAAUGCGCAGAGAUAUGGAGGAACACCAGUGGCGAAGGCGACUUUCUGGUCUGUAACUGACGCUGAUGUGUGAAAGCGUGGGGAUCAAACAGGAUUAGAUACCCUGGUAGUCCACGCCGUAAACGACUGAAGUGCUAAGUGUUAGGGGGUUUCCGCCCCUUAGUGCUGCAGCUAACGCAUUAAGCACUCCGC